rnacentral:rRNA from 1 species
AGAGUUUGAUCCUGGCUCAGGAUGAACGCUGGCGGCGUGCUUAACACAUGCAAGUCGAACGAAGCACUGAAAGCGGAUUACUUCGGUUUGAAGCUUUCUCUGACUGAGUGGCGGACGGGUGAGUAACGCGUGGGUAACCUGCCUCAUACAGGGGGAUAACAGUUAGAAAUGACUGCUAAUACCGCAUAAGCGCACAGGACCGCAUGGUCCGGUGUGAAAAACUCCGGUGGUAUGAGAUGGACCCGCGUCUGAUUAGCUGGUUGGUGAGGUAACGGCCCACCAAGGCGACGAUCAGUAGCCGGCCUGAGAGGGUGAACGGCCACAUUGGGACUGAGACACGGCCCAAACUCCUACGGGAGGCAGCAGUGGGGAAUAUUGCACAAUGGGGGAAACCCUGAUGCAGCGACGCCGCGUGAAGGAAGAAGUAUUUCGGUAUGUAAACUUCUAUCAGCAGGGAAGAAAAUGACGGUACCUGACUAAGAAGCCCCGGCUAACUACGUGCCAGCAGCCGCGGUAAUACGUAGGGGGCAAGCGUUAUCCGGAUUUACUGGGUGUAAAGGGAGCGUAGGCGGUUUAGCAAGUCAGAAGUGAAAGCCCGGGGCUCAACUCCGGGACUGCUUUUGAAACUGUUGAACUAGAUUGCAGGAGAGGUAAGUGGAAUUCCUAGUGUAGCGGUGAAAUGCGUAGAUAUUAGGAGGAACACCAGUGGCGAAGGCGGCUUACUGGACCGUAACUGACGUUGAGGCUCGAAAGCGUGGGGAGCAAAUAGGAUUAGAUACCCUAGUAGUCCACGCCGUAAACGAUGAGAACGCAAGUGUUGGGGGUGAAACCUCAGUGCUGAAGUUAACGCAGAGAGUCCUCCGCCUGGGGAGUAUGCACGCAAGUGUGAAACUCAAAGGAAUUGACGGGGGCCCGCACAAGCGGUGGAGUAUGUGGUUUAAUUCGAAGCAACGCGAAGAACCUUACCAGGCCUUGACAUGGGAUGCGAAGAUGCAGAGAUGCAUCGGAGGUCAACAUCCACACAGGUGGUGCAUGGUUGUCGUCAGCUCGUGUCGUGAGAUGUUGGGUCAAGUCCCGCAACGAGCGCAACCCUUGUGGCAUGUUGCUAACAGGAAAAGCUGAGGACUCAUGCCAGACUGCCGGUGACAAACCGGAGGAAGGCGGGGAUGACGUCAAAUUAUCAUGCCCCUUAUGGCCUGGGCUACACACGUACUACAAUGGCGGCUACAAAGAGCAGCGAGACAGGGAUGUCGAGCGAAUCUCAUAAAAGCCGUCCCAGUUCGGAUUGGAGGCUGCAACCCGCCUCCAUGAAGUUGGAAUCGCUAGUAAUCGCGGAUCAGCAUGCCGCGGUGAAUACGUUCCCGGGCCUUGCACUCACCGCCCGUCA